rnacentral:lncRNA from 1 species
UAUCCUGAUUCAAUAAUCUUCUCGCGAAGUUCAUCGGCUCUGGCAUAGUUUUUCUUAGCACGUGCUUUUGAUCUUUGAACCGCAGCCAUAAGAACGGCUCUAGGUAUGUUCGAGGACUCCCUAGGAUCAUCAGUAUUCACAUACACAUUUAAACCAUCCCCAUCUGGUACCGUAUUCCCAUCUACCUGAUUAAGUUAAAGAAGUUUACAGCAUCGAAAUUAUCAAAUCCAAUAUGUAUACUUGUUGAGGGGAGGUUGCUCUUUAGGCCGGUUUCAGACCUCAACGGUGGAGGUAUUAUACUCAGAAAGUCUAUUAUGGAUUAUCCCCGGGUUUUUAUCUCUUGUAGUCCGAAGCGAACCCCAAAAGUUCACUGAACUUAGGAGCAUCUCCCCACCAAGGAAAUGUUUAGCAUUUGGCUUUGGUGGCUAAAUGCUAAACAUUUCCUUGGUGGUGAGACACUUUCUAAACUUUGUGAAUCUCUUUUGUUUCUUCUCGAAUUACAGAAGAUAAAACUUGAAGAUAAUCAAGAAUAGACAUCUAGAGUACAAUACCUUCACCAUUGAGGAUUCAAGACUGGCCCAGAGAGCAAUCUCCCUUGAACAAUAUUGAAAUGGCAUUUAAUAUCCUCACUGGUAAUGUAUGCAUUUCAGAUUUCACUCCUUCAGGCAAUCUUGUCGGGGCACCAGUAGAAAUUUCCUCUAAAAUAGAAGGGCGAGGAAGAUCAUAGAAUUCCAAUAAACCCUAAAAGUAAAUUAGAACACAAAAAGCAUCACUGCAAUAGCAUUAACAACAGUACAUAACUAAUGUUUUUUAUGCUAUUGGCCUUUUUUAUACCUCAACAUCUGCCCUUCGAUGUCCGCUCAAGGUCUCAACAAUAAGCCUAGCAACCUCUUCAGGUGUUUUUGGUGGGGGUUUUGCUUCUUUCCAUGCUUGCAAUAACUUUCCAUACCUUAAUGUAAAACAGACCAAGAAAAGUUAACCAAAUGGUGUUGAUCAUCAUCAUCAUCAUCAUCAUCAUCAGAUAUGUUAGUUACCAUUUGACUUGAGCCUUCCUUGAUGAUACAACAUGCUGACUGAGAUCUUCAGGGACCUUGAAGAAACCAGUUUCCAAUUUUAAACAAACAGAGAAGCUUUGUUCAGCUCAAAAAGAUCAACAAAGAGAACACACAGAAAUAAUCAUUACCUGGGAUGUGAUUUCAAAAUUGAAGAGAUCAUGGGCAAGAGCUGAAACCCCAGGAGCUGUAGUGGUAUAAGGUGGCCCUACUGAAUCAGAAUCCCCAGUGGUGGAGGGUUUGCAACAUAUCCCAUAUAGGAGCCUAAAAGCAUUUCCCAUCUUGAAAAAUCCUAGCUCUCAAAACUUUUGCUGUAGCACUAUAGAGGAGAUAUUCAGGACUGGGGUAAAAGAAAGCUGGAAGAAAAACCAGGAAAGAGAAAGACUUAUGGUGGGAUAUUUUUUUUAUGGUCAAAGGCGCUUCCAAUGAAUUUCGUUUGCAGAUUCCUGUUGGUACUACUGACCUUUACUCAAAAAAAUUUUAGAGUAUCUUGUCACCUCAAAGCUCUUAUAUCAUAAUAAUAAUAAUAAUAAUAAUAAUAAUAAUAAUAAUAAUAAAUUUUAGGUAAAUUAAAAGUUAGAUUAUAUUUUAUAUUUUUAAUAAAAAAAUGCAAAUUAGUCUCAUGUUACUAGUGUAUAGUUUAAUAGAAAGAAUCAAUUUAUUCUUUAAUCUAAUGUAUAAGGACUAAUUUAUUUAUUUAUUUUACAUGAAAGACAAUGUAACACGUAAUAAAAUAAUUUUUUACCCUAGAUUCUACCGUUGAUAUACAUGUUUUAAUGACACAAGAGUUGCCUUUUGAUGCUUCAAACUGAUAAAUAUUAUCAGGUACAUUUUGGUAAUUGAUGCGGUAAGAGUUCCAUAGAUUUUUACAAGAAGCAAAUUGAUAAAAUAUAUAUGUUACAACACUUGAUUUAAUUGUUUGAACAAAUGUUACAUGUUACUAACACUUUUUAAAAUCAGAAUAAAACAUCAAAUUGACAAUGUUCAAAUGGUUUGUAGAUUCCCCUAGUCUUGUGUACAAGUUAUAGGGCACCCAUAUUCCUUUAUGUACAUGUCAAAUGUGGUUCAUUCAAGGUAUCAGACAUUGUCAUCUGCCUUGUCGUUUGUCCUUUCUCCAUUCCCAUGGCUUCUUAAGAUUCGGUAAAGCCCAUAAACCGACCCGCUUCGCUCGAGCCUCCUUUUCCCACUAGUUUCAUACAAGUACAUAGCAUUUAGAAUUUGACAGUUUUUUCAUGUUUUGAUUGAAACAAGUGCAGGGAUGGAGAAUCUAUUGGUUACUCACAGUUGCUAGUUCUAUACGUUGGUCAUAAGCAGAGUAAUGCCAUGCAAGCCCCUUUUUCAACAUAAUUUCCUGAACGAAUUUUCCAUUGCAAUUUAUAUCUCCGACGCAACGGUCGUAUCGAUCUUCCCCAUAGACGAGAACUCGUAAGCAUUUCACACCAACAAGCUUAACCAACUCUUCUUUCGCUUCUUUACCGUAUGGCAUUGAACUCUCUGGUGCAUCUAUACCCCUAUCUCACAUUUUAGAUUGAGAUUUAGCUGAUAAAACAUUGAACAUUGAACAUUAAACAAAUAAAUGUGCUACUUUAGCUGGAUUCGAUACUUUCGAGCAAGAAUCUCCUGGUUCUGAACAUUCAACACCCUGUAGCAACAAGCUAAGGCCGCUAAAAACCAAUCCCGAACCGGCAUUUUUCGUGUAUGAGAAGAUUUGAUAGCUUAAAACCUGUAUCCUGAAAUAGUAAUUUUCUUUUGAAGUGCAUCUGCCUUAGUAUAAUUCUUGUUACAAUACCACUUUUAAAAUUUAAAAAUAGUGAAAAUCUUGUUAACAAUAUCACUUUCAAAUGUUGGUAUGAGUGGAAAUUUUGGAAGAUAAACCGUAUGGACACGAAUGAUAUAUAAAUGUUGCUCAUCAUAACAUUCUUGUUAGUUACUUCGCAUCUUUCAUUAUUAUAAUCUCCAAUUUCUAUGUUGAGGAUGUUAACUAUUGUUAUGACUUUAUAUCACUAAUCAUCAUAUUUCCCCAUAUCAUUAUAGUAUUGGGAUUCGAUAUUUUCGAUAUUUCCAUGAGAGACACUUUGUUGGAGGUGGCAUUGCAAAUUAUUGUGAUCAAUUUGAGACAUAAUGAAUUCGUCGUAUGUGUUGAAAAUCUAGGGCUGCUUAUUGCUUUUAUAAUACAUAGAUUUAGAUGUAUUCAUCUUCAACCAUUGCUCGACUUGUUUUCUCUCAACAAUAUGGGUUGGAUUAUGAAGAAACAUUUAGCACGGUGACAAAGAUCACAACUGUUCGAGUCUUACUAGAAUUGACAGCUAGAAAGUCCUAAAAGCUGUGGCAGAUGGACGUCAAGAAUGCUUUCCUACAUGAAGAACUUGACAAGGACCUCUACAUGGAGCAACCAAGAGGUUUUGAGAAUAAUAUCCAUCCUGAGUAUGUUUACAAACUGAAGAAGACGCUUUACGGCUUGAAGUAAACUCCAAGAACAUGGUACAAGAAGAUCGGUGAGUUCUUAAUACAAAGUGGUUUUACAAUUGCUUCUUCAUAUUCUAGGUUAUUUGUGAAAGCAAAUCAAGGAAAACUAGCUAUAAUGCUAGUAUAUGUAGAUGACUUAAUCAUCACGGGAGAUUAUUGCGAGGAAAUUCAACAAACAAAGAAAAAUCUUUUUAUCAGAUUUCAUAUGAAUGAACUAAGAGAACUCAAACAUUUUCUUGGACUUGAAGUAAAGCACACAAAGGAAGGAUUAUUUUUUAGCCAACAGAAAAAUGCGAAGGAUCUUCUAUAGAGGUAUGGGAUGCUUGACUGCAAGCCUAUCUCCACUCUCAUGGAUCCCAAUAUAAAACUACGAGUAGAUGAAGGAAAACAUUUAGAAGAUGUAACUAUGUAUUGAUAGCUGGUCGAAAGUCAUAUCUAUCUUACUCUAAGCCGGCCAGACAUAAUUUAUGUAGUUGGUGUGGCUAGUCGAUACAUGAGUAAUCCUAAGAAGCCUCAUCUCGAUGCAAUACGGUGCAUCCUGAGGCAUGUUAAAGGCACCAUUAAUUUUGAUAUUUUAUACAAGAAAACAAAAGAAUGUCUGUUGGUUGGAUAUUGUGAUGUCGACUAUGGUGGAGACUAUGAUACGCGACGAUCAACUACAGGGUACAUCUUCAGCCUUGGAUCAGGAGUAAUAUCAUAAUGCAGCAAGAGACAACCAACAGUGUCUUUAUCAAGUACCGAAGUGGAAUAUUGGUCAGCAACAUCAGCGCCACAAGGGAGUAUUUGGCUGAAACAACUUAUGAAAGAUCUUCAUCAGCCAAUAAACUAUCAAGUAAGGCUUCUCUACAAUAAUUUAUCAGUCAUACGUCUAGUAGAGAAUCUAAUCUUUCAUGCAAGAACAAUAUAGAAGUGCAUUAUCAUAAUAUUUGCAAAAAGGUCCCUGAAGAGGAGAUCAAGAUGGUGCCAACAAAAACAAAUGAGCAAGUUGCAAACAUAUUCACUUGCUGCUUUUAUUUUGCCAAAUAGAGAUGUGGUUUCUAUUCUUUUCACACUCUCACUUGAUUAUUUUUUGUUCCCUUUGUGUACCCUUUGAUGAUCAUUUGUUUUUUAUCAUCUUUUGUUCUUUCAAGUGUUGCUGUAUUUGCUAUUGAGAUCAUAGAUUGUUAUGACUGAAUUGUAUAUGUAAAGGAGUUUCAUUUAAUGGAAUAUGCUUUCUUUUCCCUGUUAACGGAUUUUGGUAUUUUAUGGAUUGCACCGUUGGGGAUUUUGCAUGCUGAACAGAUCUUUAUGCAAAUCUAUGCUUGGAAAUUUUGGAUAAAGCUAUGGUCCUACACGAAGAUGUUUUGAUUCGGCCGACAUGAAUAUGAUUUUAUGUCUUUGUUAAAUGGUGUCCAUAUGUUUGAGUUGAGCAUGCCAUAUUAUGGUACAAUGCUCUCCUUAGAGAUCAAUUUUAGGAGCACAUCCAUGUUUCAAAAGUAAUGUACAUAUAUAUGUUUGACAAUCAUUUGAUAAUAAUAAGCAUUGCAUACAAACAAGAGAUAUGGGAAUGGAUCAAUGUUGGAACAAUGGCAGCAGCAAAAUAAGAGAACAGAGAGAACAGAACAUGAAGCAAGGUGCAAGAAAAUUUUUACUUGCUCACAAACGUGCAGCAAGGGAGCUUAUGGCUGAUAGCUCAUUCAACUCAUUCAUUCAACUAGAAAAACAACAUAUAUAUAGUCAAAUACAUCACCAAAUAGUACCUACUACCACUAAUUAUACUUAGAAACAAGUAAAACUUAACUUGCACACAAGCUGAUUAUGUCAAUCAGCACCUAAAAACAUCAAAACAAUACCAACUUGUUCAUUUUCAACUAAGUAGCUUAACAAAGAAACUAAAGAGAAAACCUUGCUGUCACAGCAAGCAUACGUGCUGCAGCAUGUCAUCAAGCUGCAUGCACUUCAAACAGCAGCAUGGUUGGCCAAUUUCAACACUCCUCCUUGGACUCCAUGCUGCAAAUACAUAUCAUUCAUCAAGUUUUUGAAACAACUUACAACAAGUUUCAACUAUCAAACAUGGUUCUUUACACAAAUAUGAUAAUUGUGUACUUUUAUCACUUCUCAAGAUGUUAUGGAUCCUUAAGGACAGUUUUAUCUACCUUACCGUUUGUUCUUCUUCCUCCAUUCCCAUGGCUUCUCCGGGUUUGAGUGUACCCAAAGGCCGGUUCUCUUUGCCUGAGCCUCUUUUUGCCACUGAUAUUACAUACGUACAAAGACAAUAGUCACAAGUUUUAACUCAACGAUGUGCAAGAACAUACAGGAUUGUUGUUUACUUACGGUUGCGAAUUCAACCCGUUGGUCGUAGGCUACAUAAUGCCAUGCGAGUCCUUUCUUUAGCAUUACUUCCUGUUCAAGCAACAGGUUUGCAGAUUAAUUCGUUCUUAUCAGGUAAACCGAAUUGAAGCUUACAAAAAGGGUAUCUACCUGCGCGAAAAUGCCAUUGCAGGAUAUGUCUGCAACACAACGACCGUGUUGAUCUUUCCCGUAGACAAGCACUCUCAAACAUUUCCCACGAACAAGCUUAGCCAACUCUUGUUUUGCUUCUUCUCCGAACGGCAUCAACAUCUCAGGUGCAUCUAUACCCCCGUUUAUAUGCUUUCAACAAGUUACACUAUAGAACAUAAAAGUCCUACAAACAGACAAUGUUACCUCAGUCGAAUCCGAUACUCUCGAGCAAGAAUCUCUUCGUUUUGAAAGUCUAUGACCCUGCAGACAAACAACGAUUAACAAUCUCGAAUCACAGUAGUACUAAAAAUUUGACAAGUUGAAUGUAACUAACUGGUAUCCUGAUUCAAUAAUCUUCUCGCGAAGUUCAUCGGCUCUGGCAUAGUUUUUCUUAGCACGUGCUUUUGAUCUUCGAACCGCAGCCAUAAGAACGGCUCUAGGUAUGUUCGAGGACUCCCUAGGAUCAUCAGUAUUCACAUACACAUUUAAACCAUCCCCAUCUGGUACCGUAUUCCCAUCUACCUGAUUAAGUUAAAGAAGUUUACAGCAUCGAAAUUAUCAAAUCCAAUAUGUAUACUUGUUGAGGGG